rfam:Nicotiana sylvestris Nsyl_contig138471, whole genome shotgun sequence.
GUGUUCAUAGAAAGGAGAGAGGGUUGUCAUCUCCCCCCAUAGAGAUAGGAACAACCUUCGAGCUUUACCUGUUACCACACACAUCCGAUUAAGGGCUUAAGGCUACCCAUUUCGGUGGAUCUUACCCCAAUUUUUAU